rnacentral:tRNA from 1 species
UCCCUGACAGUCAAGUUGUUAAGACUCUGCACUUCCAAUGCAGGGGGCGUGGGUUUGAUCCCUGGUCAGGGAA